rnacentral:misc_RNA from 1 species
GUUUAUCAAACUUCUAUUCCCUAACUAGCAACCAAUUGAUGUCUAGCUUUGGAUUUCAUAUGCUUACCAUAAUCAAUUUGUAUAAACCCAUACAAGGAUCUUGUACUCCUAACAAAGAAAGAAGCCUUUGCUCCCAUUUUUUUAACAGUAAGCACUGGGGGAGCCAAUGCACUUUGUACACCUAACAUAUUAUGUUUCAAAAAA